UACGUAGGGCGCGAGCGUUGUCCGGAAUUAUUGGGCGUAAAGAGCUCGUAGGCGGCCUGUCGCGUCCGCUGUGAAAACCCGGGGCUCAACCCCGGGCUUGCAGUGGAUACGGGCAGGCUAGAGGCAGGCAGGGGAGAACGGAAUUCCUGGUGUAGCGGUGAAAUGCGCAGAUAUCAGGAGGAACACCGGUGGCGAAGGCGGUUCUCUGGGCAUGUCCUGACGCUGAGGAGCGAAAGUGUGGGGAGCGAACAGG
rnacentral:rRNA from 1 species